CUGAAGGAAACACGUACAGGUGUGGUUGGACGGGAGAACAGGAACGCUGAAUGCCAUGCAGGAAAGACAAGACACGCCUCUGCGAUCGCUUCAGCCGCAGACACGAUGCCUGCGAUGUGGGGACGUCCUGGAGUGGUCAGAGGAGCACAGCGUCCUGCUGGGCUGUUCCUGCUGCUCCACCGUGGAUGAGACCCUGCAGAAGGUCAGCAGAGGCCUGGUCAGCAG